AGGAUGAACGCUGGCGGUAUGCCUAACACAUGCAAGUCGUACGAGAGUUUAUAACUCAAGUGGCGGACGGGUGAGUAACACGUGAGAAUUUACCUUUAGGAGGGGGAUAACACCUGGAAACGGUUGCUAAUACCCCAUAUGCUUUCGAGUGAAAUAGAUUUUUCUGCCUAAAGAAAAGCUCGCGGCUGAUUAGCUUGUUGGUAAGGUAAUGGCUUACCAAGGCGACGAUCAGUAUCUGGUUUGAGAGGACGAUCAGACACAUUGGAACUGAGACACGGUCCAGACUCCUACGGGAGGCAGCAGUGGGGAAUUUUCCGCAAUGGGCGAAAGCCUGACGGAGCAAUACCGCGUGAGGGAAGACGGCCCAUGGGUUGUAAACCUCUUUUUUCAGUGAGGAACAAAUGACGUGUAACUGAAGAAUAAGCAUCGGCUAACUCCGUGCCAGCAGCCGC
rnacentral:rRNA from 1 species